AGAAGACGUCUGCAGAUCUGCGAGGCAAGGGAGAGGGGCUGCAGAAACCUUUCUGUGCACUGUGGCCCGAAGUCACCUCCCACCCUAGAGCUGGUGAGAGUGGGUGGGAGGUUUGCCACCCAGAGCUCUGCCUGCUCUUUUCUUCCCAGAAAGCCCCUGCAAGACCGCAACUUCACCCCCAUCUCAGCUGGGCAUGUUCAGAAGCUGCACGCAACAGAAUCUUCCAGAACAUUUUCCCGCUCUGGAUCAAUCCAGGUUGACAUCCUAAGGCCAAGCAGAGAGGCAGGUCUCCAAGACAGCCGGGAGCCUGUGCGCGUCACCACGGCUUUCACCACCACCGGUGUCCUACCCAGCAGCCUCUCACCCAUCCCAGCAGGAAGCAGCCGGCAAACAAACACUGGCCGGAAACACAUGCAGUGCAACCGACAAUCGUCUGAUCUGCCGGGCCACCAUAAUGAAGUGUGGAGUGUGAGCAGAGUGGCUUCAAUAGUAGAAAUGAGUUUUGCUGUCUUGGAGGCUGGAAACCUAAGAUCAAGGUGGCAGCAGGUUGGUUCAGAGCUUCUCCCUGGACUUUCAGGCGCUUCUUUCUCAGUGUGCCCUCCUGUAGCCUCUCCGCUGGGGGGCGGGGGGCUCUGGUCUGUCUUCCUCUUCCUCUUCUUAUGAGGCAUCAGCCCUCUCCACUGGACUCCACCUCAUGACCUCGGCUGACCUCAGUCGCCUCCUUGAGGUCCUAUCUCCAAAUACAGUCACAGUGGUGGUUAGGGCGUCACAUGAAUUCGGGGCAGGGCCAACAUUCAGUCACUAACAACCACAUUCUAGGUUUUCAGUCACUCUUGCUUAAAAAAAAAACAAAAAAAAAACAUGUAAGAUGGUGAAUAUUUUUUAACCAGCAACAAAACUGUUUAAUAAACCCUACUCCUCUUAAACCCUCACUGUUCUCCCCCAGCAAUGCUUCUUUCCCCGUCCCAGUUCCGGACUCCCAAUCCCAAAUCCUCUGCGUGGUGACCCUUGUUUCUCCUCGCCCCUUAGAUCUAAUCUAUUGUUCCUGCUAGCAAUUCUGCCAUGGGUCUGGGUGUCCGGAAAGGGAAAGUUUUUGGCUAGCGAUAGCGAUGCAGAAUGAAAUACCCUUGUGAAAGGCUUGUUUCUGUUAGGAGAGGAAGAACUUGGCCAAGCCAUUGUCACUCAGUUUCUGCUGUCUCUCUUAGGACUCCUACUGAGGAGCCUUAAAGCAUCAGUGAGGGGGGGCCCAUCAUCGCAGAAAGACCCUGAGAAAGGAAGGGAGGAGGGGGAGCUAAAGGAGCCCGGCUCUUCCAUUCCCAGCAUACAUGAGCCACACGUAAGGAUGGUUUUGAGGUGACACAGCCCCUUCACCACCUGAUGCAAGUGCCUGAGGAACCCCAAACAACAACCAACUGAGCUGAGUCAACUCCUAAAUCAUCAGCAAAACAGCAGAUUUUAAAAAAAUUGUUUAUGCUACUGUUUGGUGUGGUUUGUUACACAGGAUCCCAUCCCCAAUCCUGGCAGGCCGGGGUCAAUCUCUCCACUUUCUUUGUUCACUCUGGGGUCUGCAGAUCUCCAGGUGGGGUGAAGCAUUAACAACCGCCAGCCACAAGUAACCCACUCAGCCCAGGCAGAGAGACAGUAGGGCCUACAGGCAGAUAACCCAGCUGCUGGAGAGGCCUCCGCUCGGGUGUGGGGUCCUGGUAUUCCUGCUUCCCACCAAGCCCAUGUUGUCAGCUUUGAGCUGGGCUCCAUAUUUGACCUUAUUCCAGGGGAAAGUAGGUUCUCCUCUUGCUCCUGCCUAUCUCUGAGCAGGCUCUGUCAUCCCAGGGCCCUAAAUUGGCCCACCGGAACAUGGUGUAAUGGUCAGUCUUUAAGCUGCAUUCUUCUGCUUUCCACUGGGAGGUCUUAUAUGUUCCGCUCAUCACUUGCACAGAUAGACAUGUGGCUCAAAACCUUCCAUCUGCUCCAACUCCAUGAGGAGGCUCUGCCAUCCAGUUGCACAUAACACCAAGGAGUAGGAGUUCAUGAUGAAGGAGAUGGUUUUAAUGCCAGGAGUAGCUGGAUACUUCCUACAAAGCCUUGGUCAUAUCUCCGUAAGGUAGCUCAGCUAGGGAACACAAUACAGGUAGAGCUGACUUCUUGUGCAGUCAUAAAAGCCUGCAGGUGAUAGAGGAAAAGGUUCUUCCACCUUCCUCUUUACUUGGCUGAAUUACUAUAUGAAAGCAUAUCCCCAGCACCCCUUGGCUUCUGUAGCAAAUAGAAGCCUCUGGACUUGCUCAGUUUGGACUCUGCCAAGUCCAGCUGUCCACACACACAUGUCAUAGUUCAUUUUUCUACAACACAAGGAACUAGGUGAGGACAUAGGUGGUGAAACUGAGGCUUGGAGGCGUAAAG
rnacentral:lncRNA from 1 species